AGCGAUUCUCCUGCCUCAGCCUCUCAAGUAGCUGCGAUUACAGGCUUAAGCCACCGCCACCACGCCUAGCUAGUUUUUCGUAUUUUUAGUAGAGACAGGGUUUCAUCAUGUUGGCCAGGCCGGUCUCGAACUCCAGGUGAUCCGCCUGCCUCGGCCUCCCAAAGUGUUGGGAUUACAGGCGUGAGACACCGUGCCUGGUCCAAAGAGAUGUUUUUAUGUGGUUCACCUUCGACCUUCAUCAGGGUGACUCAGGAGGCACAUUCUGAAGCCACUCUCCAACACUUAAGUUUUUUGCCAGGUAUUUUUCACAAAGCAACGAUUUGAACAAUGAAGGAGAAAAUGUAGCCUCGCAACUUCAUUCGUAAAUAAUCCAGACUAACCGCACGGAGUAUAAUGGAUCAAAGUGAGCAGAAUCGCUCACUUUGGAUGAGAUCAGCCCUAGAAUGAAAGCAAAACCGAGAUGAUGGACGGCGCAGGCUCCUUGGAGAUCCGUGUUCAUGACACCUGCAAGGACUGUGGGCAAGCUGCCAACCAGACAUGAAAUUAGCAAUUAGUUGCAUAUUCUUCCGAGUGGGUCAUGUGCUCCUUGCAAUCCAGGCACAUCUCUUUCCAUCUGGCAGGGGUGUGGCGUAUUUCCAGAGGGCUUCAAUGCGCAAUCCGGCAGCGCACUGCUGGGAGCCCCGGCACAGGACGCCUGACCACACUGACAUACACAUAUUCGCGUCCGUCUUUCCCUCUCUCCACUCCUCCUGCCCUGCCUGCUCCCAUCAUUCCGACCUCUGAUCAUUUCUGUUCUCCAGACAAGCAGGAUGAGCAGGAAAGAGCCCGGGCCUCUGAGUCAGAGGAUGCCAGUCCAAACCAGGGCUGUCUGAUGAAAUGCAGAUGCCCAGUUAGAGUGUCAUUCCAGAUUCUUGCUGAAAAUCUCCAGCAUGCCAGCCAAUGUGAUCCAUACAAGCCAACAUCAAAGAUGAAUAAGAGGCCUUCCUGAGUCCCAGAAGAGCAAGUGGAGUUGUGGCUAAGGCGAGCUAUUGUACCAUGGUGAGUUGGACAUCGCUGUUUUCUCGUGGGAGCCGUUUCGAGAGAGCUCUCUGUAAUGUCGCCGUGUCCUUCGCCUGCAUACAAAAUGCAAACACAAGACGUGUCAUUAAUGAGACAACCCAGAUUUCUUAUUCUUUCUCUGACCUUCCCCCUGCAAUCCUCCUUCGAUGGGAUGCGGGCAACUUUCUGAAGGACUGAAACCCGGGGGAGAGGGGAGGAUGUUUACUGAGCACAUUACUUAGAACAAAAAUAGCUGAAAGCUUCAUGAUAUCUUUUUAGGUUAUGUCAAAAUGUCCCUGGGGUCAAAAUACUGGUACCAAAAGAGUCACAUGAAAAUGUCAUGCCCAGAUGGAGCGACGGUUCAUGCUUCAUCAUAAACGUUUGCCUUAGAAUGCAGAGUUUUCCACUCUAUUUAUUUUUCCAAAUUCCUUUGGCCACUCCUCCCAGCAACACUAAGUUCUUUUGAAAACAAGAACUAGAAUUCCCCCCUAUGAAGUCUAUAAAACCUGCAAAGGGUUUAGAGAUAUGCUGGAAAAAAAUGGAAUACAAAAGGCUCAAUACUUAAGUAAUUUUAUGACUUCCUUCUUUCCUGAAGAGCAGUCAAUAAUGCAACUCCUUGUGUGUAAUAUUGUAAGUUCCCACCAUCCACACUUAGAUAAGUAUCAGGACCUAGCUCAACUCAUUUAUUUUGUCUCUCCAUCAAUAUCGUGAGUGCAUAAAAAUAUGGUUCUUGUCAGUGCAAAGUAGAUGCAUUCAGCAAGAGUGGGGUGGGUCCUUCCUCCAACAAGACUACGAGAGUAGAGGGAGUUUGCCGAGUAGCUGGCUGCUGCCUG
rnacentral:lncRNA from 1 species